AGCAGCCGCGGUAAUUCCAGCUCCAAUAGCGUAUAUUAAAGUUGUUGCAGUUAAAAAGCUCGUAGUUGAAUUUCGGGGUUAGUAGGUUGGUCAUGCCACUGGUAUGUACUGAUCUUACUGAUUCCUCCUUCCUGAUGAACCGUAAUGCCAUUAAUUUGGUGUUGCGGGGAGACUGGACUGUUACUUUGAAAAAAUUAGAGUGUUUAAAGCAGGCUAACGCUUGAAUACAUUAGCAUGGAAUAAUGAAAUAGGACGUUCGAUCCUAUUUUGUUGGUUUCUAGGAUUGACGUAAUGAUUAAUAGGGAUAGUUGGGGGCAUUAGUAUUCAAUUGUCAGAGGUGAAAUUCUUGGAUUUAUUGAAGACUAACUACUGCGAAAGCAUUUGCCAAGGAUGUUUUCAUUAAUCAAGAACGAAAGUUAGGGGAUCGAAGACGAUCAGAUACCGUCGUAGUCUUAAACCAUAAACUAUGCCGACUAGGGAUCGGAUGAUGUUAAUUUUUUAAUGUACUCAUUCGAGCGUACC
rnacentral:rRNA from 1 species